rnacentral:rRNA from 1 species
CCUACGGGAGGCAGCAGUGAGGAAUAUUGGUCAAUGGACGAGAGUCUGAACCAGCCAAGUAGCGUGAAGGAUGACUGCCCUAUGGGUUGUAAACUUCUUUUAUAUGGGAAUAAAAUGUUCCACGUGUGGGAGUUUGUAUGUACCAUAUGAAUAAGGAUCGGCUAACUCCGUGCCAGCAGCCGCGGUAAUACGGAGGAUCCGAGCGUUAUCCGGAUUUAUUGGGUUUAAAGGGAGCGUAGAUGGGUUGUUAAGUAAGUUGUGAAAGUUUGCGGCUCAACCGUAAAAUUGCAAUUGAUACUGGCAGUCUUGAGUACAGUUGAGGUAGGCGGAAUUCGUGGUGUAGCGGUGAAAUGCUUAGAUAUCACGAAGAACUCCGAUUGCGAAGGCAGCUUACUAAACUGCCACUGACAUUGAUGCUCGAAAGUGUGGGUAUCAAACAGGAUUAGAUACCCCAGUAGUC